rnacentral:rRNA from 1 species
UACGUAGGGUGCAAGCGUUAAUCGGAAUACUGGGCGUAAAGCGUGCGCAGGCGGUGAUGUAAGACAGAUGUGAAAUCCCCGGGCUCAACCUGGGAACUGCAUUUGUGACUGCAUCGCUGGAGUGCGGCAGAGGGGGAUGGAAUUCCGCGUGUAGCAGUGAAAUGCGUAGAUAUGCGGAGGAACACCGAUGGCGAAGGCAAUCCCCUGGGCCUGCACUGACGCUCAUGCACGAAAGCGUGGGGAGCAAACAG